rnacentral:rRNA from 1 species
CCCUUAGAUGUCCUGGGCUGCACGCGCGCUACACUGAUGUGUCCAGUAAGCACCUAACCUCUUCCGAAAGGAACGGGUAACCUUUGCAAAGCACAUCGUGAUGGAGAUAGAUUAUUACAAUUAUUAGUCUUGAACGAGGAAUUCCUAGUAAGCACAAGUCAUCAGCUUGUGUUGAUUACGUCCCUGCCCUUUGUACACACCGCCCGUCGCUCCUACCGAUUGAAUGUUCCGGUGAGCUCUUCGGACUGCGCGGUCUGCAGUUUCUGCGUUCCGUGCGGAAAGUUGCGCAAACCUUAACAUUUAGAGGAAGGAGAAGUCGUAACA